rnacentral:ribozyme from 1 species
ACUAACAUGCUCUGCAAAGGGAUGGGAUCCGAAACCUAUUUGAGGGAUACUAGAGGCUCUCCCAUUCAACUCCUAUUACGACACGUCCUUGUCGUGCAGAGCGUUAACAUGUGCCAGCCAAGCUACGAUACACUAGUUUGCAACUACUCGGGCGAUACUAGUUUGCAACUACUCGGGCGGAUGGUGGCACAUGGCAAAUCGGAAAGGG